AUUGAACGCUGGCGGCAUGCCUUACACAUGCAAGUCGAACGGCAGCACGGGUGCUUGCACCUGGUGGCGAGUGGCGAACGGGUGAGUAAUACAUCGGAACGUACCUUAUCGUGGGGGAUAACGCAGCGAAAGCUGUGCUAAUACCGCAUACGCCCUGAGGGGGAAAGCGGGGGAUCGAAAGACCUCGCGCGAUUAGAGCGGCCGAUGCCUGAUUAGCUUGUUGGUGGGGUAAAAGCCCACCAAGGCGACGAUCAGUAGCUGGUCUGAGAGGACGUACAGCCACACGGGGGCGGAGACACGGCCCAGACUCCUACGGGAGGCAGCAGUGGGGAAUUUUGGACAAUGGGGGCAACCCUGAUCCAGCAAUGCCGCGUGAGUGAAGAAGGCCUUCGGGUUGUAAAGCUCUUUUGUCAGGGAAGAAACACCGGCUCUAACACAGUCCGGGAAUGACGGUACCUGAAGAAUAAGCACCGGCUAACUACGUGCCAGCCGCCGCCGUAA
rnacentral:rRNA from 1 species